GUCAAAAAUUGACAUUUACAGCAAAGAGUAGAAUUAACAACAAUCAAUCUGUCUUUUAAGAAACAGAAGUUAACAAAGAGAAAAUUUUUCUCCUUUUGCUAUAGAAAAGCAUGUCUUCUUAAUUAGCUUCAGCUUCAUAGAGACAUGAACACACUAGGGAGAGUGAAGUCUUCCACUUAUGUUUGUUUUACAUAGAUAUUAACUGGAUGAAAUUCUUUCUCAAAUAUUUCAAAUAUGUAAUUUUGAUUCUAAUUCAUAAUUGAGAAUGUAGAAUUUUGAACACUAGUCUGUUUGUUUAUUAUUUCUAAUUCUUAGAUAAAUCUGUGUAAGGAAAUGUUAUUUAAAAGAAAAGAACUGUACUAAAAUAAUAUGUUGGCUUUAGAAUUACUUUAAAGUUUUAAAAAAAUAUUGUCUUUAUUAAAUAUGCCUCUUUUGUUUUCAUUGAUGCAAUAAGAAUGUCUUAAUUGUUAUUGACUACAUAUAUAAAGAAUAUUCAUUUAAUAUGAACUGUAUGUUGUAUUACAAUGAAGAACUCUUUGCAAAUAUCUGUACGUAUUUCAUAGAAAAUAAAUUAAAUUAAGUUUAGUUCCAAUAAUUAUUGAUAAUGUUCAAGUUGGCACUUGGAAUUUGUUUACUGCAGAACUUUUAUGAUUGGGGAAUAGCUUUCGAAGUUAUUAUAGUAAGUGAGAUCUGAUUGGUCAAAAGUCAAUAGUGUGUAUGUAGUUGUGGGUGCCUUAGCUUGACAUCUGUUAAAUGUGCUUGCUUGUAGAAUCAGGAAUAAUGUUUAAUUAAAUAACAUGCCACAUCAAAUAUUUUCUGUUAAAUAUGAUUUUCAAUGAUUUGCUACUUUUAAAGUGAUAAGAAAAAAAACCUAGACAUAAAUUUUUAAAAACGGAAACCUACAGAUGCAGAUCUAAGGUAGGUGUUGCUCACAGAUUAUUAAUAUAAUGUGGAAAAAAUCUUUCACAGGAAAUAUAACAGUGACCUCAUUAACAAGGAAAACAAAACGAAGAACUAUAUUCUGCAUGCCUGCCUCACAGUCAGAUAGCUGACAUAAAACAGGAGAAGGGCUGACUGCAGUCUCUGGCUCCCCUGAAGGCUUCCUGACACCUAAUCCAGAUUUGCCUGUGCAUGCAAAAAACAAACCUCCCUGGAAGGAAAAUUGUGGAGUUAAUUAACAAUUUAAACUGGACAGUUUUAAUUUCUGAAACAAGACUAUUGUAUUACCUCAAAUGACAUUAUCUAUCUGUGAACAGAAAAAAGAAAUUUAUGGGAGCAGGCCCAAUCCUCAUACAAGGCAGAAGACUAAUAUUACGGUGAAUGAAUACUAGAAAGCCACGGGAUCAGGUUCCACCUGGGGCUAUGCUAUUCUGCAGGCAUGCUUAGUCAACAGGAUCUGUUCAUUAAAACCAAGUGUAUUACAUUUCAGCUCUAUAUCUGUUGCAAGCAACACACUCGCAAAGUUUAUGAACAAAUUGAUUUUCUUUCAAAUAGCAUCAUUUUCAUGAGGUAUUUUACAUUUGAUCUCAUUACUCAUUGUGCAGUUUGAUUAGUUAGGUUCAUUAUAGCCCUGCAGAUAGAAGCAAGCUCAGAGACAGGCUCAUAAGAAAUAAAAAAGAAUCCUUAAAACAUAUGCAAACAUAUUUUCUGCUCUUUUUCCAUCUUAAGUUCUACUUAGAAAAUCAGAACUUUGACAGGAGGAUAGUGAUUUUACCAAAACUUUGGGAUUCUAAUUAGCAAAAAAUAAGGUAGCUAUUGCUAUUGUUUGGAUAUUGAAUAUUCUAUGCUAAGUCAGUACCUAGGUUGGUGCUAUUAAAAGUACUGUGGAACUUUAGGGCACUAUAUGGUUCCUAAGUCACUAUGAGACCAGGUCCUUGCAGGAGUUCUGUAACGUCCGGAUUCUUCUUGGUCCUAUGGCUUUACCCAUAGAUUAUGAAGAUAGUGGUUUCCUCUAUUGUUUGUCCAUAUUAGUGUAUUGUUUUCACUAAGCCAACAACAACAGCACCAGCAACAAUAAUCAACCAACCAAACCAAAACAACAACAACAAUAACAACCAUGGAUCAACAUUAU
rnacentral:lncRNA from 1 species